rnacentral:rRNA from 1 species
GACGAACGCUGGCGGCGUGCUUAACACAUGCAAGUCGAGCGAGCGGCGGACGGGUGAGUAAUGUAUGGGGACUGCCCGAUAGAGGGGGAUAACUACUGGAAACGGUGGCUAAUACCGCAUACUAUCGGAUAACCCAUAUGGGAUUAGCUAGUAGGUAAGGUAAUGGCUUACCUAGGCGACGAUCCCUAGCUGGUCUGAGAGGAUGAUCAGCCACACUGGGACUGACACACGGCCCAAAGUCCUACGGAGGCAGCAGUGGGGAAGAUUGCCAAAUGGGAGCAAGCCUGAUGCAGCCAUGCCGCGUGUAGGAAGAAGGCCCUAGGGUUGUAAAGUACUUUCAGUCGGGAGGCGUUACCGACAGAAGAAGCACCGGCUAACUCCGUGCCAGCAGCCGCGGUAAUUC